UAACUUUGAUUUCUAAUAUUCUAUCUAUCAUCUAGACGAGUUGCAUAAUUUUUGAGUGAGAAGCCAUUUGAAUUUCUGUGAUCCAAGAAUCCAAGCCAGCCAAAGGGAUUGUCGAGGCCACCCAUAGGAAGCUUUCUCCGGAAUUGAGAUAUACACACUAAGGGGAAUCACACAGUUUGACUCCAGCAAUUACUUGGAAAUGGGUUUGUGGACGCUGCUGGAGGGUUGUCUGCUUCUCGCAAAUGCACUAGCAAUAUUAAACGAGGAACGGUUUCUAAUACCUAGAGGGUGGAGCUUCCAGGAAUUUUCAGGGGUGAGGAGAAACUCAUUCAAGGGACAGCUUAUUGGUCUAAUAUAUGCAACACAGUACUUGAGAGUGCUUCUGAUGAUACUCAACUCCCUUUGCAUUGUUGUGAAACUAGUUUCUGGCUAAUAUAUUUUGUGUGAUGCAGUGUGAUGCUGGCCUAGUAGAUUGCUUGAAAUUUGUGUAGUUUAUUGGUGGAUUUUUGGCGGGUGUAUGGUCUACAAGAGAUUUAAGAGCAAGAUUCAUGCAUUUGUUUUAAUGAGAUUGUUUGAUCCUGAUGUCAACGUCUCCAAAUUCAAUGGUGACUAUAGAUGAAUAUGAUCGCACCCUUAUUGAAGCCUGAACUUUUUUAGUUUGUUGUUUAAGAUCAUGAAGCUGUAUGUAAAUUGUAAACUGAUGAGAAAAUGAGAGGCAAAGAGUUGAGUUUA